rnacentral:rRNA from 1 species
AUGGCCGGGAGAGCCUCUUCCGUGGAGCGCGUGAAGGAGCGUGCCACCGGCCUCGACAAGUUCGUCCUCCGCGAGGCCCGCGGCAGCUCCGCCGAGGUAUACUUGUAUGGAGGCCAAGUAACCUCUUGGAAAAAUAACUCUGGAGAACAACAGCUAUUUCUCAGUAAGAAGGCUUCUUUCAAACCACCAAAAGCGAUUCGUGGGGGCAUACAAAUUUGUUUUCCUCAAUUAGGGAACCACGGAGUUCUUGAACAGCAUGGAUUCGCGAGGAACCGACUUUGGAGUGUUGAUGAGAGUCCUCCUCUUCCAGAUACCACUUCUGAUUGUCAUAUUGACUUGAUACUCAAGCAGUCUGAAGAAGAUAUGAAGACCUGGCCACACAGUUAUGAACUUCGUUUGCAAGUUGCUCUUAGUCCGAGGGGAGAUCUGAUCCUCACAUCUCGAAUAAAAAAUAAGAAUGCUGAUGGCAAGCCAUUCCAAUUUACUUUUGCAUACCACACAUACUUUUCAGUCUCUGAUAUCAGCGAAGUACGGGUUGAGGGUUUGGAUACCUUGGACUAUCAUGAUAAUCUACAAUCUAAGAUUCGUUGUACUGAACAAGGCGAUGCAGUUGUAUUCGAAUCUGAAGUGGACAGGAUAUAUCUAAGUGCCCCACCCAAGAUUGUGACAAUUGACCAUGAGAAAAAAAGGACAUUCGUAUUAAGGAAAAAGGAACUUCCUGAUGUUGUUGUUUGGAACCCAUGGGACAGGAAAGCAAAAGCAAUGCCAGAUUUUGGUGCCGAGGAGUACAAGUGCAUGCUGUGUGUAGGGGCUGCACGUAUUGAGAAGCCAAUUACUUUAAGGCCUGGUGAAGAGUGGCAAGGAAGGCAGGAAAUUUCCCCUGUGCCAUCCAGUUACAGCAGUGGACUGUUGGAUCCUGAAAUGAUUCAACAGAUGCAACGUAUCUAG